rnacentral:lncRNA from 1 species
CUCACUCUCACAAUUGCACGGUCUAUUUAGCACGCUUUUAUAAAACCUUUUAACCAAUCAGCUCUGAACCCCUGAGAGCAAGGCCCACCCCACCUGUCAGGCUUGGAUUUCCAAACACAGAAGGAAAUGCCUGAAACAGACUGAAAGGGAAAAGUAGGAUUCAACAGACCAAGAGCAAAGGGAAGGGCCUUCUGGAUGGACAACAGCCCCGCGCAAAGAGGGGCACAGAUUUUCGGGCUGUUUCCAGUUAAAGGAACGUAAAGCUGCUAUGGCCAGGUCCUAUGUGGCCAUAACCUUGGAUGGUGCUUAUGAUUCCUCUGGAUUUUCUACAUAAACAAUCAUGUCAUCUGCAAUGGGAACAGUUUCAUUUCUUCCUCUACGAUCUAUCUGCUUUUUUUCCUCCUUGCCUCAUCACAGUAGCUAGAACAUCCAGUACUGUGUGAAAUAACAGUGGUGAUGCAAAUAUCUUUUCCUUGUUCCCAAACUCAGAGGGAAAACAUUCAGUCUUUCACCAUUAAGUAUAGUAUUAGCUAUAGGGUUUUUGCAGAUUUUUUUUAGCGAAUUGAGGGAGUUCCUCUCUGCUCCUAGUUUGCUUAGGUUUUGCUUCUUAUGAAUUGUUAUUGGAUUUUGUCAAAAGCUUUUUCUGCAUCAAUUGAUAUAAUUAUAUUUUUCUUCUUUAACCUGUUGAUAUGGUAGAUUGUAUUGAUUUAUUUUUAAAUAUUGGACCAGCCUUAUAUACCUGGAAUAAAUCCUACUUGAUCAUAGCGUAAUUUGUUUUAUACUGCUGGAUUUUAUUUCCUUCUAUUUUGUUGAGGACCUUUUAAAUCUAAGUUCAUGAGAAGUAUUGGUCUGUCAUUUUCUUUUCUUGUAAUGUCUCUGUCUGGUUUUGGUAUCGGGAUAAUGGUGUCCUCAUAGAAUGAGUUAGAAAGUGUUUCUUCCUCUUUCAUUUUCUGAAAUAAAUUAUGUAGAAAUGGUGCUAAUUAAGUGUUUGCUAGAAUUUUCCAGUGAACCAUCUUGGCCUGAAGAUUUCUUUUUUUAGAGCUUUAAAAUGAUCGAUUCAAUUUAUUUAAUGGCAAUAAGACUAUUCAGUUUGCCUUAUUCAUCUGAUUGAAUUUUGGUUACUUGUGAUAUUUGAGAAAUUGGUCCAUUUCUUCUAAGUUAUCAAAUUUAUGAGCAUGGAGUUGUUUACAGUAUUCUCUUAUCACAUGUUAAAUGGUUGCCGAGUCUCUUAGGAUAUUCCCUCUUGGUAUUGGUGAUUUGAGUCUUCCUGGUGUUGGUGAUUUGGGUCCUCUGUCUGUUUAUCUUAGGUUUUUUUAAGAAGAUUAUCAACUUUAAUAAUUUUUUAAAAUUAAUUUUAUAUAUUAUUUUUCUGUUUCCAGUUGCACCAAUUUAUGCUCUUAUCUAUAUUAUCUCCUUUCUUCAGAUUGCUUUGGAGAUAUUUUGCUAUUCUCUUUCUGAUUUCUUGAGGUAUGAAUGUUGUCUUAGUCUGUUCAGGCUUCUAUAACAAAAAUACCAUAGACAGAGUAGCUGAAACAAGAAACAUUUAUUUCUCACAGCUCUGGAGGCUGGGAAGCCUAAGAUCAAUUUGCUGGCAGAUUCAGUGUCUGGUGAGGUCCCACUUCCUGAUUCACAGACUGCCAGUUACUCAUUGUAUCCUCACACAAUGGAAAGCAGCAAGAGAAUGCUCUGUUUCCUUUUAUAAGGGCACUAGUCACAUUCACAAGGGUCCUACACUCCUGAACUAAUCACCUCACAAUGAUCACACCUACUAAUAUCAUCACAUUGAGAGUUAGGAGUUCAACAUACGAAUUUUGAAGAGACACAAGCAUUUAGUCCAUUACAAAUACAGAUUAUGGUUUUGAGAACUUUCCCUAUUUUAAUAUAAGUGUUUAAUGCUAUAAAUUUCCCUCUCAGCAUGGCUUUUGCUGCAUACCACAAAUUUUGAUAUGCAUUUUUUUUUUUUUUUGAGAUGGAGUCUCACCCUGUGGCCCAGGCUGGAAUGCUGUGGUGCGAUCUCGGCUCACUGCAACCUCCGCCUCCUGGGUUCAAGCAAUUCUCUUGCCCCAGCCUCCCAAGUAGCUGGGAUUACAGGCGCAUGCCACUACACCCAGCUAAUUUUUGUAGACAAGGGGUUUCACUAUGUUGGUCAGGAUGGUCUCAAACUCUUGAUCGUGUGAUCCACCCGCCUCAGCCUCCCAAAGUGCUGGGAUUACAGGCGUGAGCCACCGAACCCAGCUGAUAUGCAUUUUAAUUUUUACUCAGUUCUAUUUAUUAUUGAUUUUUCUUUGAGACCUCCUUUUUGCCCUCAUGGAUUAUUUAGAAAUGUGUUGUUUACUUUCCAAGUGUUUGGAGAUGUUCCUUUUGUGUUUACCCUGUUGAUUUCUAAGUGAUCAUUGAUUAAAUCACCGACUAUUGAUUAAAUCGAAAUUGUCAGAGAACAUUCCUUGUAUGAUUUCAACUUUUUAAAAUUUGUUAAGGUUUGUUUUAUGGCCCAAGUCUAUCUUGGUAAAUGUCAUGGCUAUUUGAAAAGAAUGUGCAUUCUUCUGUUGUUCAGUGGAUUGUUCUUUCAGUUGCUAAGAGUUGAGUGUUUAAGUCUUAACCAUAAUUGUGGAUUUCUCUCUUUCUCCUUUCAGCUUUAUCAGUUUUUGCUUCAUGUACUUUGAAGCUCUGUUGUUUAGUGCAUAAAUAUUAGGAUUGCUCUAUCUUCCGGAUCAAAUGUUGCUUCUAUCAUUACGUCCCUCUUUGUUCCCAGAUAUUAUCGUUUUUCUAAAUUCUACUUUAUGUGAUAUAAUUGUAGCCACUUAUUCUUUUCUCUUAAAUUAAUGCUUGCAAUGCAUAUCUCUCCAUUCUUUUACUUUCACUUAGCUAUAUAAUUUUGUUUGAAGUGAGUCUUUUGAUGACAGCCUAUAGUUGAAGCAUGUUUUAGUCACACUGCCAGUCUCUGCCUUUUAAUUGAUGUAUUUAGACCAUUUACAUUUAUAGCAAUUAUUGACAUGUUAGGGCUUAAGUCUGUCACUUUAUUAUUAUUUUCUAUUUGUUACUUUUGGCUUUUUAUUCCUCUAUUUUUUUUUUUUUUUUUUUGCCUUUCUGUGUGUUAUGUGAACAUUUUUGAGAGUUCCAUUCUGAUUUAUUUUUAAUGAUUUUUAAUAAUAUAGCUCUGUAUAGUAUACUUAGUGAUUGUUCUAGAUAUUACCAUGUACAUACAUUAUUUAUUUGCAAUCUAGUGGUGCAGAUGUUUUACCAAUCUGAGUAAUUUCUAGAAAUCUUACUUCCACUUAGGCUUCAUUUAUAGUCUCAACUUUCAAAAUAUAAUGUUCCUAAUUAUUUCCUCUACAUAUAUUGAACACCAUAUCUGAGGAUACUAUUACCUUUUUUCAACCACAAAAUAUGAUUAAAGAAACUCUUUUGAAGAAUUUACUUCUAUUUUUAACUAUUUCAUUUACUUCUAUUUUUGUCUUUUUAAUUUUUAUCUAUUUUGUUGUUGUUCUUUCCUUUCUAAAGGUCCCAGUAUUCUUGUUAUUAUUUUCUUCUUUGCUAUUUUUUUAAGAGUGGAUGUAUUAGCAAAAAGUUAUCUUAGUGUUUGAUCAUCUGAGAGUGUCUUUAUUUCCUCUUCAUUCAUGAAAGAUAGUUUCACUAAGUACAGGAUUUGGGGUUGACAGCUCUUUUCUUUCACUUGAAAACUGUUGCACCACUUCCUUCUGAACUCCAUGGUUUCAGAUGAAGAAUCUGCUGUUAUUUGAAUUGGUGCUCCUUUGUAGGUGAUGUGCCAUUUCUCAGACUUUUUUCAAAAAGACAUUGUCUUUGUAACUUUCAUAAGUUUAAAUGUAAUGUGUCUUGGUUGGUGUGGAUUUCUUUAGGUUUAUCCUAUUUGAAAUUCAUUUAGCUUCUUCUAUCUGUAGGUUUAUAGCUUUCCCAUGGCUUACCUUUUAAUUUUUUUAUUAGAAACUUACAAAAAAAUGUAUUUUGAAGUCCAGCUUGUCAAUUUUUUUAUUUUACGUUUUGUUCUUUUUGUGUUCAGUCUAAGAAGCCUUUGCCUAUACAAGUUUAUUAAGAUUUCUCCUAUGUUUUCUUCUAGAAAAUGUAUUGCUUUAACAUUUAAGU